GACGAACGCUGGCGGCGUGCUUAACACAUGCAAGUCGAACGAGUGGCGAACGGGUGAGUAAUACGUGAGUAACCUGCCCUCUUUUUGGGAUAAGCCUUGGAAACGGGGCUUAAUACCCAUUAAAGGGGGCUGGGCUCGCGGCCUAUCAGCUUGUUGGGGGGGUGAUGGCCUACCACGGCGGUGCCUGGUAGCCGGGCUGGGAGGGUGACCGGCGACAGUGGAAAUGGGACACGGCCCAGACUCCUACGGGAGGCGGCAGUGGGGGAUAAUGGACAAUGGGCGGAAGCCUGAAGCAGCGACGCCGGGUGGGGGAUGUAGGCUUUCGGGUUGUAAGCAUCUGUGGCUAUCGAACGGGUAGGUGGAGAAGAAGCGCCGGCUAACUACGUGCCAGCAGCCGCGGUAAUAC
rnacentral:rRNA from 1 species